GUGUGCGUGUUACCUGGCGGGAGCAACAGUCUGUGUGACGGGCUUGUUGGGCCGCACGGGGAUGGGCUCGUCGAGGAACUUGAGGUCGUGCUCCGGGAGCUCCGGGCGCCGCACCACCGGCACAGCCGCGUAUAGUGUGUGUUCUGUGUGUGUUACCUGGCGGGAGCAACAGUCUGUGUGACGGGCUUGUUGGGCCGCACGGGGAUGGGCUCGUCGAGGAACUUGAGGUCGUGCUCCGGGAGCUCCGGGCGCCGCACCACCGGCACAGCCGCGUAUAGUGUGUGUUCUGUGUGUGUUACCUGGCGGGAGCAACAGUCUGUGUGACGGGCUUGUUGGGCCGCACGGGGAUGGGCUCGUCGAGGAACUUGAGGUCGUGCUCCGGGAGCUCCGGGCGCCGCACCACCGGCACAGCCGCGUCCAGCUUGGCGAUCAGCUCCGGGUCCAGCCCGAA